rnacentral:rRNA from 1 species
UACGUAGGGGGCGAGCGUUGUCCGGAUUCAUUGGGCGUAAAGAGCUCGUAGGCGGCUUGGCAAGUCGGGUGUGAAAACUCCAGGCUCAACCUGGAGACGCCACCCGGGACUGCUAUGGCUAGAGUCCGGUAGGGGAUCACGGAAUUCCUGGUGUAGCGGUGAAAUGCGCAGAUAUCAGGAGGAACACCGGUGGCGAAGGCGGUGAUCUGGGCCGGCACUGACGCUGAGGAGCGAAAGCGUGGGUAGCAAACAGG